CAGAAUUUACAAUUUUACAACAGAAAAUAAUUAGCAAACAACUAUUAUACAAGUGGAUGCACAUUUCUGUUUGAAUGUUUUUUACAAAUUUAAUUUAUUGGUUUUACUGUAUGUGGUUGUAUUAUAGAAAUUCUCUUGUGGAAGUGGUGGAGGAGGCAACGACAUCACAAUCUCAUUGACUACAUCCAGUUAAGCAACAUAGUUAUAUGAACUAGUGCAAUACAAUAUGAACGUCUAUUUGUGAUAACUAGCUGUCUCUUGUGUAUUUAGUCAGAUCACCUGCUACCGUUUCUAUGCCAUCAACGAGACAACCUGCCAUCUUUGUUGAAGCAAUUGAAGAAAAUGCAGAAAAGCCGCCAGACCGAACAGUCACCCAAACGUCUGUCACAAGCAAUACAAUCUAUAAGCUCUGACAUUCCUGCAUGGAAUGACUGCAGAAUCCAAGCAAAGAAACAAAAUUCAACAGGAAGAGAUGUGCCUGAUUGGGUGAAGAAAUUUCAAAUGGAACAUUCAGUUGUACGUGGUUUAUGAAGAUGGAGUGAGAUAGAAAGAUAAAGUCGGAUAGAAAGCUCUUCAUGUUCUCCGUAUAUCAGUAGGAAUAAUAGUGACACAUCAAAUGGUCUUCCUCUCCUGACAUUGCGGUCACGUGAUGUUUACUCUACAGGUCACGUGAUGUUUGUAACGCUACAGAUGAGAACAGACGUCUCAUGGUGUGAAGACUGAAUACUUAAUUCCAGAUACUUGUAUUUGUUUAAGAGAUGUUUUGUAUUAUGAAAUAUAGAGUAGAAUGUAAAUAGUAAAAAAUAUAGAGUAGAAAAAAUUGUAUAUUAAUCACGUGACUCACGU